AUUGAACGCUGGCGGCAUGCCUUACACAUGCAAGUCGAACGGUAACAGGUCUUCGGAUGCUGACGAGUGGCGAACGGGUGAGUAAUACAUCGGAACGUGCCUGGUAGUGGGGGAUAACUACUCGAAAGAGUGGCUAGUACCGCAUGAGAUCUACGGAUGAAAGCAGGGGAUCGCAAGACCUUGUGCUACUAGAGCGGCCGAUGGCAGAUUAGGUAGUUGGUGGGAUAAAAGCUUACCAAGCCGACGAUCUGUAGCUGGUCUGAGAGGACGAUCAGCCACACUGGGACUGAGACACGGCCCAGACUCCUACGGGAGGCAGCAGUGGGGAAUUUUGGACAAUGGGCGAAAGCCUGAUCCAGCAAUGCCGCGUGCAGGAUGAAGGCCUUCGGGUUGUAAACUGCUUUUGUACGGAACGAAAAGCCCUGGGUUAAUACCCUGGGGUCAUGACGGUACCGUAAGAAUAAGCACCGGCUAACUACGUGCCAGCCGCCGCGGUAAAAC
rnacentral:rRNA from 1 species